rnacentral:rRNA from 1 species
GGAAUAUUGGUCAAUGGACGCAAGUCUGAACCAGCCAUGCCGCGUGGAGGAUGAAGGUCCUCUGGAUUGUAAACUUCUUUUAUCUGGGAAGAAAUCCAUUUUUUCUAAAGUGGUUGACGGUACCAGAUGAAUAAGCAACGGCUAACUCCGUGCCAGCAGCCGCGGUAAUACGGAGGGUGCAAGCGUUAUCCGGAUUUAAUGGGUUUAAAGGGUGCGUAGGCGGAUAGGUAAGUCAGUUGUGAAAUCCCCGAGCUCAACUUGGGAACUGCCGUUGAUACUAUUUAUCUUGAAUAUCGUGGAGGUGAGUGGAAUAUGUCAUGUAGCGGUGAAAUGCUUAGAUAUGACAUAGAACACCGAUUGCGAAGGCAGCUCACUACGCGAUCAUUGACGCUGAGGCACGAAAGCGUGGGGAUCAAAC